ACCGUAUCUUCCCACCAAUCUCAGGACUCUAAGAAAUUAAUUGUCAUAAUAAUGUCUUUUUUGAGGCAGGCACAAAUAUCAGUACCCACUUUCCUGAGAAAACUGAAGCACACAAGACGAACUUGCAUAGGAUUUCCCAGCUAGAAACUGCAGAGGCAGGAGAAACGCGAAGUGCACUCUGCAGUCAUCAGGGCUGGCGCCCUCUAGAGGAAAAAACUACCAGUUCCCACUGAGAGGCCUUGAGAAGGAGAGCGUGCAUGGAAAAAUGUGCCAGAAGAAACUGUAAACAGAGGAAGGCUUGUCGGUGCCGGCGCAUCUCUUCAGGCCUCCUUUUUGCUGGGACUGGCCCGCCACUCCCUGCCCUGAGCUCCUGCAGGCUGACCACGGGACACCGGCUGGCGCUAUCCAGCAGCCGCCCCGCGAGGCUCCUGCCUGGGAAAGCAGCUCCAGUUACACAUUAGUCACAAAAAUAACAAGGAUCAAAGGGAGCAAAAGGCAUGGAACAGCUUCAUUUUCCCAAUUUAAUUGCAGGACUGGACGAUCCAUUUAAAUCUGGACUUCUUUCUCAUUGGCUCUUCAGCUCUAAAAUUCCAAGCAGAGGACAUAUUCCCUGGAUGCUGCCUGACUUGUACGGUCCUGAUGUUCAUCCCUGGAGGAAAAAUGUUGAUUGUGUUCAACGCAAGGCUGUCACCAGCUGUUUUAAGUUAAGUCUUCCUUAUUAAGGGACUAUCGGUUGUUGCCCAUGGCUUUUGAACUUAGAAAUGUCUGUUUGGCCCAUUAAAAAUGAGCCUCCUUCAUGUUUGUUUGUUGCUUUGCCUCGUCUUAUUUUUGCUUUCUUAUAUAGGGAGAUAACCUGCAGCAAAAUUGGGAAGUAGAGGCAGUGUGCCCUCGCCAUUCUUUCUUUCUCUUUGUACUUUCUUUUUUUUUGCUCUUUUAAUGGGCCAGGUCCUUGGCUACUAAUGGCCAGGCCACUAGUAAAGUUGAAGAACUUUAGUAAAGUUACUUCUCCUUUUGAGGCCAUAGCUGUGCCAAUGAUAAAAUGGAGAGUUGCCCCUGCUGAUCUAGCACCAGUUAAUAUGGCAUUAAUCUCUCUGCAGAACCCCUUGCCCUGGAACAGGGUCAGCUAAUGCAUGGAUCUCAGGGCAUCCACUUUUCCUUCCUAUGCCCAAGGCAGACAGCACUAAUCAACCAUGCCUCUCUUUCUGACUGAGACCAGACUCUGCCUCAUGGCUCCUUCCAAAAUAUGAACUAAGCAGCCACUGGAACGGAGUUGUAGAAUGGAGUUGUACUCAAGCAAACAGCAUUUGCCAUCCCAACACUAACUGAUCUAGCCCUCUCUCCCAUCAGAGCAUAAUUGUUUGUGGUUAAUCAUUGUGUUUCUCCUCUAUCUUUAAGAUGGUGAGGUGGGAGUCAUUGAUAUCCAAUCCUUCUUUCAGCUUGGACAGUCUGUGUACCUAUCAUUGUUAAGCUGACCUAACAUAUUCUUUUUGGAAUAGACGUAUUAAUAUGAAAGUUGAUGCACAAUGCUAUGCCUUCCACAUAUGCCACCCUCUUUGCCAGUUCUCUGAGACCCUCUCUGUGCACUUUCAUGCCUUAGUCCAAGUGGACCAUUCCUGGACUAGUAGAGUCAGGAAUUGGUUACUCAGAGGGAAAAAUCAGGUCAGUAAACAUGAGCCUUUGUCUGAAUGAGGUUUAUUUCUAUGUAACGUUGCUGCAGGUAAUGAGCUAAUGAGAAAGUUGUAUUGGGGAAAAGAUUUAGAAGAAAGCAGGAUGGGGGACAUCACAUAUUAUAAGAAUAAAAAAAAGCCCUGAAGUUCAAUUUGCAAUAUAAGCAAAGGAACACUUAGAAAGUGUUAUUUCAAAACCAUUGCCAGAUCUAAGUAAGAAAGCAAGACAAAAAGAAAAGAAAUGCAACAGGCCCCAGAAAUCUAUUCUGGUCACAGUGUGCCUUUAGACAUGGGCUAUGUCAGGUGACAACAUAAUUUAUGGUCCAAACCAAGACAUGUUUGAGAGUGAAAGGGACACUAUUAAUCAUGGCAGUGGGACAACAGGUGUAAGCUAGGACCUAGGAUCACUGCAAUCAUAUCUCUACUCAUUGCAGAAACUUCUGAAUAUGUGUUGAUCAGAAUGGAGUGAAUGAGUAAAAUACACGUGACAAGAGAAGAAAGUCUAUGAGCACUCCUUUCCUUCCCAUUGAGGGGCAUAAAGCAUAAUGGCCAAGGUCAGGAUGCUGCCGAAUGUCACAGGAUCACCAGACUGCAUCAAUUCAGAUUUCCAAGAGCAAGAGAUUAACACCAUAUGAUUUAAUCUCAUAAUAUUUCUGAUGCAGAGGGCAGGAAGGGAAUUCCUGACAGAGGAAGAAGCACAUGCAAAGCUUGUGAAGAGAAGCUUUCUCACCCGCGUUAAAGGAACACCAAGGAUGCGAUCUGGAUAUAAGAGGACCAGCUCAGCCGUCUCUUCUGGAGUUCAUCCUCUGCCCCCCCAAGGACCUAUCUUCUCUGCGGUCCCUCCAGUGCCAGCGUGCUACUGGGCCCCUGGUGUUUACUUCUGUUGACACUUUUGUGAUAUUCUACUGCCUACGUCCGCUGCGGGUCUGUGAUAUCUUGGGGAAGUGGGUCCUGCAUUUUUAUAUCCUCAUCACUUAGCAUUGCAUUUAGGUGCUAAAUAAGUAUGCGUUUAAUAGAAUAAUAACCAAGUCUAAGGAUUGAAGCAAUUUUACAAAAACAGCUUUGAAAUAGUUGAUCUAUACUCUUCGCUGGUGGCAACUUUGGCAGGGCAGUACUAACCGGGAGGCAUGUAUGGGCUCUGAUAUGGGGGUGUCUAAAGGCAGCUUUCCUCCUGCUUUAGUGGUUGUACAGAAGAAUAGGGUGCAUUCUAAAGUGACUUUUUUAUUGAUGCAUCUCUGACAGCAGCAGCAAUCUUAUUCAUUAACUGGCCACUUGCUUUGCACCAGGUCCUAAGGCAGAGACGGCCAGCUGCCUGCUAACAUCCAAGUUCUCUUUCCUUACAAAUAGAACCCUUAUUUCUUUGCGGUAAUGAUGGGCAAGUCUAUGUUUCACAGUCUCUGCUGGUUUGGGUGUGGCCACAUGUCCCAUCUCUAACCAAUGGCCUGGAACAAAGAUGUUGGCUUCUUAAAAGAUGGGCAACAUGAGGAAAGCCCUUUCCCCUAUUUCUGACACUCACAGUGGAGCCAUCUUGGACCAUGAGAGUCCCUUGAAGGAUGCAAUCUCUCUCUAAGAUGCCAGAACCAACAGAUAGCAGCUCCUUGCUCCCUGGGACUUCACGAGACCAACGUAUCAGCUGUAGUCAGCUAUCUCCUGAAAUCUUUUUCAUGUGGAAAUGAAUCCUUGUGCCAUUAAGAUGUUUUUAUUUCGGACUUUUUGUUAUAGGCAGCUAAACCUAUUCCUAAUGAGUGUAGAAGUUUUACACACAGUAUUUCAAUUAACUUUCACAACAUCCCUGUGAGUUAGGUAUUAUUGUCCCCUUUCCAGGUGAGGAAAUUGAGGAGGCAGAGCUGGGUUUGCACCCAAGGACCGUCUGAGGGCAGAUCCUGUUGCUAUGAGGGUGACCAUCUGUUUUGAAUGAAUUUGUGCUUUGUCGCCAAUGUGGAAGUUGUGGAUUUCAUACUUUUCUAAACAUUUCUUUAUAUCACCUUGCCUUCUACUUUUUUUUAAGCCUUUUUCAUCUGAUCAAAAUUUAUGGUUGAACAAGAAACCAGUAAGACCUUGUCCCUAAAGAUUUCAAUCCAGAGAAGGAGGCCUAAGGAUAUGUGGCUCCACAGGAGGGGAUGUUCUAUUGCUCUCCUGGUAGCUGGGCAGUAGGAGCUUUGUUUUAGAGAAAAACAGAUACUGCCUCUGUUUCAUUCUCACGAUGCCAAGACCAAAGCAAGCCUGAUGAUGUUUCCAUUUCCUGAUAAAUAAGAAGACUGAGGCCCCCAGUUAGCUCUGUGCAGAGCCAUUCGGAGCCUACUGACCCCACGUUUCAUUCUGUGCUCAGGAUUCAUUGCUUGAGGUCACUCUGUCCUGCCUGUGGAGUUUGGGGGACCAAUGUAAUAAAUAACACCCUGGAAGAAUUUUAGAAUCCUGGGGGAAAACCUCUCUAAUAUCAUUCAAUAUAUUUCUUUCAAUUCAAUGAUAAGUUUCAAACUUCUGUAAAUUUUUGUACCAAGAAUUCUAAAGAACUCAACAGCAACAAUAAUAAUAAAACCAGAUA